CCCUUAGAUGUUCUGGGCUGCACGCGUGCUACAAUGGCGUUUCCAGCAAGUCUGCGAACCCGAGAGGGCCAGCGGAUCUUCGAAUUGGCGUCGUGAUCGGGACAGUCGAUUGCAAUUAUUUGACUCCAACGAGGAAUUCCUUGUAAUCGCGAUUCAUCAUAUCGCGCUGAAUACGUCCCUGCCCUUUGUACACACCGCCCGUCGCUCCUACCGAUUGAGCGAUCCGGUAAAUGUUUUGGAUUGGUGCCGGGGCGGCUAGCUGCCGGUCGCUACGAAAUUUUGUGAACCUUAUCGCUUAGAGGAAGGAAAAGUCGUAACA
rnacentral:rRNA from 1 species